rnacentral:snoRNA from 1 species
AAGACUCUACUUUCAGGGAUCAUUUCUUUAGUCUGGAACUAGAGGAUUGUGUUUCUACAGAGGUUGGUCUGGCUGUCCAUGAUGAUGAUGAUGAUGAUGAUGAUGAUGAUGAUGAUGAUGAUGAUGAUGAUGAUGAUGAUGAUGAUGAUGAUGAUGAUGAUGAUGAUGAAUGAAGAUGUUUCCUUCAGAGCAGGAAGCUGGAGAGAAGAUGAGAAUCUUCUUCACUGAUGAAGACUGUUCAGUGUUUCUGGAUGUGACACUGAAGGAGGAAACAUUGUCUGAGU